rnacentral:rRNA from 1 species
GCGAACGCUGGCGGCAGGCCUAACACAUGCAAGUCGAGCGCCCCGCAAGGGGAGCGGCAGACGGGAGAGUAACACGUGGGAACGUACCCUUCAGUUCGGAACAACCAAGGGAAACUUUGGCUAAUACCGAAUACGUCCGUAAGGAGAAAGAUUUAUCGCUGAAGGAUCGGCCCGCGUCUGAUUAGCUAGUUGGUGAGGUAAUGGCUCACCAAGGCGACGAUCAGUAGCUGGUCUGAGAGGAUGAUCAGCCUCACUGGGACUGAGACACGGCCCAGACUCCUACGGGAGGCAGCAGUGGGGAAUAUUGGACAAUGGGCGCAAGCCUGAUCCAGCCAUGCCGCGUGGAUGAUGAAGGCCCUAGGGUUGUAAAGUCCUUUCGGCGGGGAAGAUAAUGACGGUACCCGCAGAAGAAGCCCCGGCUAACUUCGUGCCAGCAGCCGCGGUAAUACGGAGGGGGCUAGCGUUGCUCGGAAUUACUGGGCGUAAAGCGUAUGCAGGCGGAUCGCUAAGUCAGGGGUGAAAUCCCGAGGCUCAACCUCGGAACUGCCUUUGAUACUGACGAUCUUGAGUCCGGGAGAGGUGAGUGGAACUGCGAGUGUAGAGGUGAAAUUCGUAGAUAUUCGCAAGAACACCAGUGGCGAAGGCGGCUCACUGGCCCGGUACUGACGCUGAGAUACGAAAGCGUGGGGAGC